GCGGUGGAGGUUCAGUGGUAGAAUUCUCACCUUCCACGCAGGAGACCUAGGUUCGAUUCCCAGCCAGAGCA
rnacentral:tRNA from 1 species